rnacentral:rRNA from 1 species
CCUACGGGAGGCAGCAGUGGGGAAUAUUGGACAAUGGGCGAAAGCCUGAUCCAGCCAUGCCGCGUGUGUGAAGAAGGUCUUCGGAUUGUAAAGCACUUUAAGUUGGGAGGAAGGGCAGUAAYUUAAUACRUUGCUGUUUUGACGUUACCAACAGAAUAAGCACCGGCUAACUUUGUGCCAGCAGCCGCGGUAAU